UUGCGCAAGCAACACGGACACACAGGAAGAGUACACAGGACUAGCGCAGUCCUGCGCUAGUCCUGUGUACUCUUCCUGUGUGUCCGUGUUGCUUGCGCAA
rnacentral:pre_miRNA from 1 species